rnacentral:rRNA from 1 species
CAAUAGCGUAUAUUAAAGUUGUUGCAGUUAGAACGCUCGUAGUCGGAUUUCGGGGCGGGCCGACCGGUCUGCCGAUGGGUACGCACUGGUCGGCGCGUCCUUCCUUCCGGAGACUGUGCCUACUCUUAACUGAGCGGGGGCAGGAGUCGGAUCGUUUACUUUGAAAAAAUCAGAGUGUUUCAAGCAGGCAGCUCGCUCUUGCAUGGAUUAGCAUGGGAUAAUGAAAUAGGACUUUGGUGCUAUUUUGUUGGUUUCGAACACCGAAGUAAUGAUUAAAAGGGACAGUCAGGGGCACUCGUAUUCCGCCGAGAGAGGUGAAAUUCUCAGACCAGCGGAAGACGAACCACUGCGAAAGCAUUUGCCAGGGAUGUUUUCACUG